ACAAUUGAAAUCAAAUAAUUUGUUUUUGGUCAAAAUCGAUAAAAUUGAAAGGCCAGAAUUUUUGUGAAAUUUUCUGAAAGGUUUGACCUUUUUACGAUAUUUAAUGAGUCUUCGAUGUUAGUGAGAGAUGAGAAAGGUUCUAAGGGCGGUUGGCUUCUGCUCUCUGUUGAUUUCAUUAUCUCAAGGACAUAUAUCUGGAGAUUUUUGACACUCUCAGUGGGAAUUGAACCCACGACCUCACUCACUGAACAUAGCAUUUGAGCUAUAGUUCCAUUUGGUAAUAGAGAUUGGACAAGCGUCUUAAGGAUCGCUGACUCCCACUCUCUGAUUCUGUAUAUUGGAGAGAUUGGCUUUUCUCUUGAGAUUGUUAUGUCUAACACUUUUUAGACAAGGAGCUUCCUUCUUGAGUGCCUUUUGUGUUCUUUUUAUUGUCUGAUUGAGCUGCAUUUGAUUUUAUUUCAAUUUGUUUGCGGCGAGAGGGAGAGAUUUUGAUGAAAUUGUCUAAUGCUUUAAGAAUGAGGCUUUGCUCUCAGAGAGACAUGGGAAGGGUUCUAAGGGUGGUUGACUUCUUCUCUCUGAUAGAUAGCGAAGCUGAUGAUUUCAUUUUAUGUCAUAAGUUUCCAACAACCCUGUCAAACAAAAACAAACAAAAACAAAAAUGCUGUAGAUGACAUUACAAAACUAAAUCUCUCCCUUAGCAAGGCUAUGAUGAUCUGCUGUUUGUUGCUUCAAAAGAAAUCUAUUGUUAUUGUAGCUUGCUAAUCCAUUUCUCGGCCUUCCUCAAAAGUACUGCAGCUGUGAUUGCAGUGUUUCUUUUUGAAGUCUCAUAUGCAAAGCCAAAUCUGAGUCUCCUUCCCAUUUCAUCAAAGUAGCCGAGAAAAAAUAUUUAUGCCUUCAUACUAAAGGCACCAAUUGAUAUUUAGGGAAGUUGUAUCAUUAGUUUAAGUAUGAGGCUUUGCUCUUAGUUGGGAUCGGUUUCUAGGGGUGGUUGACUCCCAAUUUCUGAUAGUUAGUGAAGCUGAUGAUUUCAUUUCUCCUAUUCAUUUUACCAACAACCUUUUUAUAGAACAAACAAAUAAAUAAAUAAAUUUUAGAUUGCAUCAGCAGUUAGUGAUUUAGCACUCUGUUUGGUAAAACAGAAAGAGGCUUUGCUCUCAGAGAAGGGAAUGGGUGUUCUUGUAGAGUGGUUGCCUCCCUUCUCUGCAUUGUCGCCGGAGCCGAUGAUUUCAUAACAUCCGCUUAUCUUUUCAAAUAAUUAAACCACUCUGUGUUUGUAUCUUUAUGAGACUGAGGGACUAUCUUAAAAUCUGAGUUGCAUGAGCAAUAAGGUAUUCAGCACUCUGUUUGGUUAAAUAGAAAGAGGUUUUGUUCUUAGAGAAGUUGAUGGGUGUUCUUGUAGAGUGGUUUCCUUGCUUCUCUCAACUGUUGCCAGAUUUUUUAAAAGAAGAAACCACUCUACUUGUGAAAAUGUUCAAAAAUGACGUUAAUGUUUACGUUGCAUUCUUGUAAGACCUUCAUGAUUUUUAAGUUGUUUAUUAUGAAGAGGCUGUGAUGAUAUGUAUUCGUUGCUUUUUAGGGUGCACAAAUCAGAUGUUAAAAAUAAUACUUUUGGUUGUUUUGGCAGGGUAGUCUUGAGCUUCUCUCUUGCAGAGAGCUUUUUGAUUGCAGCCACGGCCUUUUGUGUUUUUUUUUUGUUUUCAUAUCUGAUUAUUUAAGACGGAUUUAAUCUGAGCCUCCUUCAUUUUCUUUCUUGUUUCUGAGGGUUUACAGUUAUCGGUGCUUUAUUGGUGGUGGUGGUGGUGGUGAUUGUUUGCGGCAAGAGGGAGAGUUUUGGAUAAAAAUAUUGUCAUUGAUUUAAAUAUGAGGCUUUGCUCUCAGAGAGAUGAGAAGGGUUCUAAGGGUGGUUGACGUCUCCUCUCUGAUAGAUAGCGAAGCUGUUGAUUUCAUUAUCUCAAGGAGAUAUCUGACAUGUUUCCAACAACCCUUUGAAAGAAGAAAGAAAAGAAGAACAAGAAAAUGAAAAAUCUUAUAUAUGACAUUAAUCUCUCCCUCAUCAAGGCUAUGAUGAUAUGCUGUUUGUUACUUGACGAGAAAUCCAUUGUUAUUAUGGCUUGCUAAUCUUUUCGUGGCCAUGGAGAUGGUCGCCUGGCGAUCAGUUUCCUGGCCAUCGAAAGGAUUUCAGCUGUGAUAACAUAGUUUCUUUUCCAAGUCUCAUAUGCAAAGGCAAAUCUGAGUCUCCUUAAUUUUAUAAAAUAACACACAGACAAAGGUUCCAAUUGAGGAUGUGAUGAUUCUAUCUCCUUUUUUUUGUUCAUUCAAUAAUAGCAAUAAUAAUAAUAAUGGCGAUGAUGAUAAGUUGUGUUUGGAUAUUAGAUUUGAAGGAAAUAGAUUGUCAUCAUGGCAUGGUAAUUCUUUUUUCAAAGAAUUGCAGCCUGAUUAUACAGUUUUCCUUCUUCUCUAAUAUACAAGGCUAAAUCUGAGCCUCCUGAAUUCUGUCAACAAAAAAUUCCUUAAAGUAAAAGAAUGAGGCUUUGCUCUCAGGGAAGUGGACGGGUUUUCUGGUAGGGUGAUUGUCCACCUUCUCUGAAUAGCUGCAGAGCUUAUGAUUUCAAGAUCCUCCUGCUCCUGAGAUUUUUGACACUCUCAGUAGGAAUUGAACCCACGACCUUACUCAGUAAACAUAGCAUUUGAUAAUAGGUAUGCUCGACUUAAUUCCAUCUUAAAUGUUUAUAACUGUUGCUUUGAUAAACAGAGAUAAAUGCUUUGAAAAAUGGUUUUUCAUUUGCUAACAUUCAUGAUGCCCUGUGUGCUCCUUUUCAUUUAUAAAUGUACUAUCUGCACAUGUUAGAAUGAAACAACCUGAGGCUACAGUUUUUUUUUCUCUUUUUGGCGAGACUGAUCGAAUUGGUUGCGUUUCCACUUGAUGCUUAUUCUUUUUAUUUUCUGCUUAAUUGUUUCUACAAUUUUGGUUCAUGUGGAUUUUGGAUUCUCUAUAUUGGAGAAACUCCUUAAAUUUGGCCAUUCAUUUGAGACUGGCGCCUCUGAGGCGCUCCUUGGACAAUGCAUAUAUGUAUGUUUGCUGGUUAUAUAAUUAAGGUGAUAAUAAUAAAGAUUCAUUAUAUUUCCAUUUUAUCAGCUGCUUUACUCUUCCAGAAAGCAAAUCAGUGAUGGAAGGGAUAAAUUGGCUAAUGUAUCUCCUGCCAAAUGUGAAAGUGGACCACGUCGCAAUACCCUUCCUUAAUUUUGGACAUAGUUCAAAAUACAUUUUCAAUACAUCUUUGUUACCACUUACAGGUGCUCACAAUCCAGUGGAACGGGUACUUCAACAGAGAACCACUCUUCAUGAUCUCUGUGAGGAGGGGUAGAGUCCAUGGUAAUUACUUGCUGUUUUAUGCACAAAAAUCUAAGCUGUCUUUUGCUCGGUGGGUGGCGGGCAAUAACAGCUGAGGGAUUUAAAUGAGCUGAAAUAUACAGGCUGUGGGUGUUUGUGUUUGUUUUAGUUGAAAAUGACUUUUUCGAUAGUGUGCCAAGUUGAGGGGGUGAAUUGAUCCUUUGUUCAUAUAUAAAGCAUUCCUCAGACUGGGAGAUUCUGGCAUCUCAUUAGUUUAAGUAUGAGGCUUUGCUCUCAGAAAGAUUGGAUAAGGGUCUUAAGGAUUGCUGACCCCCACUCUCUGAUUGCUAGCGGAGCCUAUGAUCCAACCCAAAGAAAAAGUAAUUUUUUUACUAUAAUAGGGGCUAUGAUGAUGCAUCAAGUGUCUCAAAAUCAAGCAUGAAAAGGAACUACCGGUAUCAUGGCGGCAGGGCAAUCUGUUAGCGGCAGGUACAGUCAGAUGGUUGAUUUUUGCUCUUCUGAUUUUCUGGCCAGCAUCCUUGACGAUUUGCAGCUGCCUGAUAUGGUAAUGUUUCUUCUUGCCUGGUUUUCAUGACAAUAUUUCUGAGCCUUCUAUGUUCAAAUCUAUCUAUCUAUCUAUGUUCAAAUCCAUAAUAAUAAUGGUGAUGCGAUGACGAUGAUGAUAAUACCGGAGCUGCAGUGGGAGAAAGAGAGAGAUUAAGAAGUGAGGCUUUGCUCUCAGAGGGAGAUGAGAAGGGUUUUAAGGGCGGUUGGCUUCCUUCUCUUUGAUUUGCAGCGAAGCUGAUGAUUUUCAUUAUCUUCGAAAAAGAUAGGUAGGUUAAUCAACAGCCCUUUCUGUAGAAAGAAAACAUUGAAAGCAAAAUUAUAAAUUUCCAUACAUAAUACUGUCAAAACCUAUCUCACUCUCUCUCUUUAUCUCUGGUAGGGCUAUGAUGAUGAUAAGUUGUGUUUGGAUAUUAGAUUUGAAGGAAAUAGAUUGUUAUCAUGGCGUGGUAUUCUUUUUCCAAAGGAUUGCAGCCUGAUUAUACAGUUUUCUUUCUAGUCUAAUAUACAAGACUAAAUCUGAGCCUCCUCAAUUCAGUCAACAAACAAAAAUUUCUCAAAGCAAAAGAAUGAGGCUUUGCUCUCAGAGAAGUGGAAUGGUUUUCCGGUAGGGUGGUUGCCGAUCAACUGAGUUCAUUAAUAUUCGGCUUUUUAGACAAGGUAAAUUUGUUUGACUGGUGGUUGGUGGUGGUGAUAGUCUACUGCACAAGGGAGAAAUAUUGGAGAAAAUUUUGCGAAAAUGGAGUAGUUGUGUACAAAUGCUGGGUUUGCUUUUGGAGAUUUUGAUGUUAUUUAAUCAAAGCAAAGGAAGUUUAGUAUGAGCACGACUUGCUGGAAAAACUCUCAUCAUAUAUUAUUGAAGCUGCCCACGAAGCAUUUGCUAGGGCUCUUAGACGAGCAACACAAUAUAUGACCCGUCGUCUUGGGACUGUACCUGGUUGGCAAGGUGCUCACGGUCCAGCGUAAAUGGUAGUUCAACAAGGGAACCAUUCUUCAUGGUCUCUAUGAGGAGGGGUAGAGUCCAUGCUGAUUUCCUGCUGUUUUUAUGCACAAAAAUGUAAGUUGCCUUUUGCUCGGUGCAUGGUGGGCAAAUUACAGCUGAGCGAUUUAAAUUAGCUGAAAUAUACUCAAGUUGUGGGUGUUUGUGUCUGUUUUCGUUGAAAUUUUCCUUGCCAAGUUGAAGGGGUGAAUUGGUCAUUUGUUCACAAAUAAAUAGUUACACAGACUGAGAUUCUGACAUCUCAUUAGUUUAAGUACGAGGCUUUGCUCUCAAAGAGAUAGGAUAAGGGCUUUAAGGAUUGCUGACUCCCACUCUCUGAUUGCUAACAGAGCCUAUGGUUCAACCCAAAGAAAACGUAAAAGGAUUUACUAUGAUAGGGGCUAUGAUGAUGUGUCAAGUCUCUCAAAAUCAAGCUUGAAAACGAACUACCGUCAUCAUGUCGGCGGCGGGGGCAAUCUUUUGGUUGCAGGACAGUAGUAUCUCUGAGCCUUCUAUGUCCAGAUCCAUCUACCUAUGGAAGAAUACUUCUAUUUGCUUGACUUUUUUUGGGUGGGGUGGGGUGUGUCAAACCAAAGCUGUAGUUCAACACAAUGGAGACUCUUGUAAUUGGCUCUCCCCCUCAAAAUAUUAACUUAAUAUCUUGUGGAUCAAUGAUCCAUAUAUCGGAUAUUAAACUGAUAAGAACAGAUACUAUACUUGAUCUUAGCCAAAAGGCCGAGAAAGGUAUUAUUCAACUUCUUUAAAUAUGAUUGAAAUUGAGGCUAAACAAAGAUGAAGGUUUUGAAUGACUUAAAUUAUGGGGUUUGCUGUCAGAUACAGCUGAGAAAAAUAUUUUUUAUCUUCACUACCAAGUUGAGGGGGUGAACUGAUAGGGCUAUGAUGAUAAGUUUUGUUUGGAUAUUUGAUAUGAAAGAAAUAUGUGGUUAUCAUGGCGUGGUAUUCUUUUUCGAAAGAAUUGCAGCUUGAUAACAGAGUUUUCUUUAAUAUACAAGAAUAAAUCUGAGCCUCCAUUCUGUCGAAAUACAUUUCCCAAAGUAAAAGACUGAGGCUUUGCGCUCGGAGAAGUUGAUGAGUUCUCUUGUAGGGUGGUUAAGUACCAUUAUAUGAUUGGCUAUGGAGCUGAUGACUUCAAAAUUGCCCCGUCCUUUCAAUGAACCGAUUCAUCAAUAAAUGGGCACUUUAGUGAUGGAUGGUGGUGGUGAUGCUGAAGAGAAUUUUACCUCAUUGUGUUGAGAAAGAGGCUUCGAUUUUAUAGAGAGUAACUAAAAAUCUGGAGAGUCGAGAAAUCAGAAAACGCACCUGAGCAUUUUAACUAGCUUGAAACCCUCUUAGCAUGUGCUUCGGCUUUAUAGAGAGAUGGAAAGGGUUCUUGCUGGAAAGUUAAAGGGUCAAAUUGAUAUUUAACCCUUCAUAAAUUUGAAGGCUCUCUCUGUUCUUUAGCCAUAUUUCUUAUUUUUAAGUUUUUUUUAUUUAUUUAUCAAGUCUAUUUCUAUGAGAAAAUGAAUUAGUCAUCCAAGCUUUUAUUUGGGCAAGUAUGUUUCUAUUUAUCAUUGUCUAAUGACUUAAUGUAUUAAAAAAUCCCGAUCUUAUAGUCCAUUUUUGAUCCUACUCUAA